CCAAUGGGGUAAGCAAAAUAAUCUUAUGUCAAAAGAAAAAAACAAGAUUAUUUUGCUUAACCCAUUGG
rnacentral:miRNA from 1 species